GCCUUCAGAGCUUCCGCUGCCCUGAUGUCCUCAACCCGGUGGAUCCAUUCCUCCCUUGUCGGGAUGUCUGGUUUCUUCCAGUAUACCGGUAUGAGCGAUUUGGCCGCAUUCAAUAGGUGACGCAUGAUAGAUUUUUUGUAUGUGGAUAGUGGUCGCUUGGAUAUGUGUAGCAAGGCUAGUUCCUCUGACCAUUCAAGGUCAUCUCCCAGGAUCAGUUGAAUGUCUGAUUUGAUCCGGUCCCAGUAUGGGGCAAUGUGUUUACAUUCCCACCAUAUGUGGUGCAUGUUCCCCCUAUCCUCCUGGCAUCUCCAACACGUUGGUGGUGUAGUGGGGAAGAUCCUAUGUAACAGUACAGGUGUUCGAUACCACAUAGAAAGCAACUUGUAGUUCACCUCUUGAUAGUGAGAGCUGGAGGAGCUUUUGUGCUGCCAGAGCAAGGCCUUGUCCCAUUGUGCUGUUGUGAAGGACUUAGCCAUGGCUCGUUCCCAGUGUCGUUUGAAGAGGUUGUUUUCCGAGGUGGGGCUGGUCAGUAUGUAUUGGUAGAGGUUCGAGAUUGCUUUCCCUAAUGACGUGCCCCUGGAGCAGAGUUGCUCGUACCAUGUGAGGUCUCUUUGCAGCUUUUCUUUGUGCGGGAGUGUGUUGAAAUAAUGUUUCAGUUGCAUGUAUCGAAAAACCGCCAUAUGUGAGCGCGGUCUUGAUUCCAGUAGCGCGUCCAGAGUCCGCAGGGCGCCAUCCCGAAUGACCUUAUGUAUUGGGAUGUAUCCUGCUUCGCCCAAGAAUGACCAGGCAUCUGGCGGUAGGCCGCCUCCUAUACUGGGGUUAUGAGCGAUCGGUAGCAAUGGGCAAGGAGUUGGGGAGAUUUGUGGUGUUUCCCUGAGUUGUUCCCAUGUGAGGAGUGUUUGUGUAACUGGGUCAUCGUCCCCUCUUCUGUUGCCUCUCGUUGCCCGCCUUUUCCAAAUUGCAGCCUUCAGUUUUGCACUGUCUCCUUCUUGAUCUAGGAUCACCCAUUGUUUGGUCGUCUCUAAUUCGUGCCACUCCAGAAUCCGUUGUAGCGUCGCUGCUUGGUGGUAUUUUUUAAAAUCGGGUAGGGCUAAACCCCCCCUAUGUCUGGGCAUGCACAGUAUUUCAUGUCGUAUCCUGGAUCUUUCUCCCCUCCAUACAUACCUGAUCACUUCUGAUUUCAGAGUUG